UAUGUAUACAUGCACAUUUGUGGCUAUAAUACAUAUGCGUGUAAAUAUGUGCAUACAUGCAUAUUCACACUUGGGGGAUGUGUGUGUUUAUGUGUGUGUGUUUUGUAAAACAUAGUAAAUAGUGUGCUGCAGGAAACAAAAGGGCUAAUUGUAAGGUCCUAUAAUGUCAUUCUCCAUUCCAGGAUGGAAUUAUAAUGACCAUAAGUUUUCCUUUCAUAGAACCUAAGCAAUCUUUAUAGAACACUUCAUUUUCUGUCAGCUUCAGGAAUGGGAGAUAUUUACAUACAUUCAGACAGUUUCUGAUGCCUGGAGGCAAUGUGUAGCAGGGACGGGUGCAGCAUGGAAUGCUCUUCCAGCUCUGGCUGACAGAGGGUACUGAGUGUUUUGUUCUAGUUGUCAGACGUAAGAGCACCCCUGUGAUUUCUCCAGCUUUGUGCUGAAGGCUGGCUUGGGUUCUUAUCUGAAGGAUGGUGCUGAACUGGUAGAGGCAUAAAAUAAUCUUUAUCUCCCUUUUUUAUUUCAGUGCAGCAGAGGAAUGAACCCAACAUAAUAUGACCACUUCAGGUAAAGUUUGUAAGUUUGUGUUCUUCAGGAUUUUGGCAUUUUAUGAUGUUUAACAUGUACCAAACAAUGGAGAAAUUUUGCAUGAGAUUAAACCAUUCCCCCUCAUUUUUUGGUGGAAUUAAGUACUAUAAAUUGUUCUGUCACAAAUGCUAUAAUAUUUUUGUUUGAGACAUACAAUUACAUACAUUUUGCAUAUAACUGAAACAAACUUUAAAAUUAUUAUGCCCAAUCCCCUCUUAUCACAAAUACUCUCUUUUAUGACCCAUCUCUGAAAUCAUUUGUUUCCCCUAAACCUGGUAAAUUACCUGUAUUCACUUCUCCUGCUGAAAGACCUUCUAAAACCUUAUGGCUCUCAUGACUGGAAACUUUAUUCUAGCCUCCAGUCAAUUUCAUUUACUUUUUUUUUUUUUGAUGUCAUAAUUUAAAUUGGACAUUCAUAUUGGUGCUCCUUCACUUCGCUCAUCUUUUUUGAUUAUAUCAAGUCAAGGUUUAUGUAUAUCCAUCACUAACAUGCAACUCUGCAUAAACCAUUGGUUGGAAGUUUUAUAACUAACUGAAGAAAAUGAAUUAAUUGCUACAAUUCUUUAUUGUUGAGCACCUCCCAUAUGAAGACAGGCUGAGAAAAUCAGGGCUGUGAGAAGAGA
rnacentral:lncRNA from 1 species